CUGCUCUUUUUCCGCGCUUAAGCCCUGUUGCUGUCGUGGUCUGUCUCUUUAGCGGGCUCAUUUUUAUUCUCAUGUCUGCACUUUUACGCUUUGUUAAUAUAUAAUAGAGAUUAUUUACCCCUACUGUGUGGUUUACCAAUAUCGCCGUGCUAAAAUUACUUAUCCUUUUUUGCAACUUAACUUCGUAUAUAUACUAAGAGUGCUUUUUACCACUUCCGCACGUAUUAUUUCUUUUAGUAGCUUGUACUUCUUUGAAAUAAAUAUUCUGGAACUCAUUCCUUUAUGAACUUUGAACAAAGCUUCAUAGAAGGAGCAGGAUGUCUGACAAGGUUUCAGUGAAGUAUGACUCGGAAAAAGUUUGUUUUUUAAAAGCAUUAUAACUUGCGAUUAAGGGAGUUCCUAUAUUUUUCCUACUGUUGAAAUGUUCUUUUCGCCUUCCUCUAUAACCCUAAAAAAAAUUGGCUAGUUUACGAGAUAGUAUUUUAUAAUUGUUUAUAAAUUUACAACUUUAGUUUACUUAUUGACUCUUAAGAUUUGUAUGGUGUAAAGUUCUAUUUUUUUCUAUAUAACACGGUCUGAAUGUGGCAUCACUUAUAGUAAACGCGACAUAAAUAUUGGCCUAAAGAAGAAUGUCACACCUCACUCCACUAACACUGUAGUCUUAGAGUCGCAAGAACUAAAUUCUGAGAAAGUCGCUGUGGAAAUGAAAAAGGCGCAAAAGCUAGCCAAAAAUAGGAUGGCUGCGAAGGUAUGCCGCGAGAAAAAAAAGUAAGUCGGUUAGGAGUACGUGAAGUGUCUUGAGGAGCGUGUGAAAUUACUGGAGGACCAGAAUGCCUUGUUAUUGCAGGAAUUGAGAAAAUUAAAAAGUUUAUUGGGGACAGAUGAAAAGUAGACUGAAAUAAAUUUGCUCUUAAUUUCCUUACUAGUUGCUUGGUGGGGUCUAUGCGGGCUCAAUAAAUCUUAUUUUCUCUCUA